UGGUCUGGCUUCCUAUAUAGCUUGAUACGUGAACAUCGUGUGCUAAUACUCCUUCACUUGCUUGGGCACAUUUUAACCAGCUCAAAUAGAGCACAGUUGCAGGUCUCCAGACCAGAGCUGCAUCAUCACACCACUGCACAAAGAACCCAACCCCAGACCCACUGCAGACAUGAUCAUCAGACUGGGCAGACUGACCCCUGGAUACUUCCGUCUCCUCCAGAGACAGGUGGCCGGUGAGGUGCAGACCCAGCCACAUGACCGCGCGGUCAACCAGAUAGCCAUGAUGCUGGCCAUCAUGGGCCUGAGCCUGUCCUACUACAGUGCCAAACGGAUGACAGAGAAGGUCCAGAGGCUCCAGAAGAGAAGAGACUCCCAUACACCUUGAGGAGACCCCCAGUGCGCCGGUCUGCUUUGAACCCGGAGAGAAGACGAACCAACGCAGAGAUGUUGUGGAUAGAGGAGAUGAGGAGAGGAGACCUGGAGAUGACGGUGUCUGUGUCCAGAACAGCACCUUUUCACAACCAAUCAAUCGUAGUCACGUCGUUCAGACGCUGGAGUUUUACUGGGAUCACUCACCAUGCAAAGAGAGUUCGGGGGCUGCUGCUGUUGUUAAUUUUUCGCCCCAGUGGGUGUCGGGGGGGACCUUGUGAAGGGGGGCGGAUGUGGGAAAGACCAACGGCGGUGUGGUCCUGAUAAGGUUUUGUGAGCUGGUUUGGGGGGUAAAAAGUACAACCAGCUACCUAUGGUCAAGCUGGGCCCGAGCUUCAGCCGUUGCCAAGGUACGUGCGUGCAAGAUGCCGUCAAUACUGUUCUGAGCUAAAAAGGGAUAGGAAAAUACUAAAUAAAUUAUUCUAAUGUACUGUGAAUCCUGCCAGUGCUCCAAGCAUAUGUCAGUGGGGGUAAAAUAACUGAACAGUAAUUCUUUUUAAGGGAAGGCUAUCUGCAUUUGAGAUGUAUCUAGUAAUGACUGAAGGCUGUGGCUGAAAGUGAGGAGAAAGGAACCCUCUUAGGUUUUUGUAAUUCCUUAUUGUUUAAAAAAAUAAAAGUGAGUAAUGUGAACUAGAUGUGGAGUAGGAGUCUCAAACUGGUCAAUUAUUCCACAUGUUCAAUAUCUGUUGAUGUCAGACAAACAACCGUACAGUACUGGUGAAACAUAGUAUUUUAACGUUUGAACUUGCUUAUCCACAUCUACAAAAAAAAGGCACUUAAUCCAAAUCACAACUAUUUUUGUUUUUCACAAUGUUUCCAGAUUAAUCCAUUUAAAUCUUGAUAAAGAUCGGUGGCUUUCUUUUUAAAGAACUCUAUCUGCAAUAUCUACUAGGUGUUACCACAAAUAUUCUAACUUCAGUAAACCAUUGCAGCUUUUAAUCUCUACAUAAAACUCAAGAUUUCAUAAUACUGUCACGUUUCGUUUUUUCUAAAGAAUGAUAACCAUAAAUGUAUAUUUCUGUGAUGUUUAUGAAUAUCGAAUAAAGCUGUGACUUUUGAAUGAUAAGAACA